GGCCGAGUGGUUUAAGGCGGCAGACUUAAGAUCUGCUAUUCGUAAGAAUGCGCGGGUUCGAACCCCGUUCCCG